CCUACGGGAGGCUGCAGUGAGGAAUAUUGGUCAAUGGACGAGAGUCUGAACCAGCCAAGUAGCGUGAAGGAUGACUGCCCUAUGGGUUGUAAACUUCUUUGAUAUGGGAAUAAAAUGUUCCACGUGUGGGAUUUUGUAUGUACCAUAUGAAUAAGGAUCGGCUAACUCCGUGCCAGCAGCCGCGGUAAUACGGAGGAUCCGAGCGUUAUCCGGAUUUAUUGGGUUUAAAGGGAGCGUAGGUGGAUUGUUAAGUCAGUUGUGAAAGUUUGCGGCUCAACCGUAAAAUUGCAGUUGAAACUGGCAGUCUUGAGUACAGUAGAGGUGGGCGGAAUUCGUGGUGUAGCGGUGAAAUGCUUAGAUAUCACGAAGAACUCCGAUUGCGAAGGCAGUUCACUGGACUGCAACUGACACUGAGGCUCGAAAGUGUGGGUAUCAAACAGGAUUAGAUACCCGAGUAGUC
rnacentral:rRNA from 1 species